rnacentral:rRNA from 1 species
UACAGAGGUGGCAAGCGUUGUUCGGAAUUACUGGGCGUAAAGGGCGCGUAGGCGGCCCGUCAAGUCCCGUGUGAAAGCCCCCGGCUCAACCGGGGAACGGCGCGGGAAACUAGCAGGCUUGAGUUCGGGAGAGGGAAGCGGAAUUCCGGGUGUAGCGGUGAAAUGCGCAGAUAUCAGGAGGAACACCGAUGGCGAAGGCAGGUCUCUGGGCAUUAACUGACGCUGAGGAGCGAAAGCAUGGGGAGCGAACAGG